rnacentral:lncRNA from 1 species
GUUAUUGGGCUUACUCCUCAUCAUCACCCGGUGAAGAGGAAGUGCUCACUAGUUAUUGGGCUUACUCCCCAUCGUCACCCACUGGAGGAAGUGCUAACUAGUUAUUGGGCUUACUCCCCAUCAUCAUCCACUGGGGGAAGUGCUAACUAGUUAUUGGGCUUACUCCCCAUCGUCACCCACUAGAGGAAGUGCUAACUGGUUAUUGGGCUUACUCCCCAUCGUCACCCGGUGAAGAGGGAGUGCUCACUAGUUAUUGGGCUUACUCCCCAUCAUCACCCACUGGAGGAAGUGCUAACUGGUUAUUGGGCUUACUCCCCACCGUCACCCACUGGGGGAAGUGCUAACUGGUUAUUGGGCUUACUCUCCAUCGUCACCCACUGGAGGAAGUGCUAACUGGUUAUUGGGCUUACUCCCCACCGUCACCCACUGGGGGAAGUGCUAACUGGUUAUUGGGCUUACUCCUCAUCAUCACCCGGUGAAGAGGGAGUGCUCACUAGUUAUUGGGCUUACUCCCCACCGUCACCCACUGGGGGAAGUCCUGACACUAAGGGUCCCUUCCAGAGAGCAUCAGUGUCAUUGCAACAGGGGGACGAAAGCCCGUGAAAUCCUGUUUUUGGUCAAGUCCUCAUGAUUUUAUCUUUUAACCCAAAGCACAGUGUUUACUUCUGCUGGGGUUGUUCCCACAAGGAGCUGAAGAACUGAAGCUGAAACUGCCUUUCAGGCUUCCCUGACCACCUUCCUACCCUACCCCAGAGGAAGUUUUCGGGGACCCUCAAGGAGCUGCCUGCAGCCCUUCAUCAUUCUUUCCACUAAGCCUCACGGGCAAGGUCACCCUUCCCGCCUCCCUCCCAUGGGCUGACCUGGUGAUCCUCCAUGGAGAAUGCGUAGGAGCCGGAUAUCGGCACUGCCAGGUGGCAGAAAGAAAUUCCCAUUCUCCGAGCACCAGCCAGGACGUGUGUUUAAGCCAACUUGUUCAUUCUUCCACCUGAUAUCUUAUUUAAUGUAACAUGCAUGUUUCAUCCACAAAAAUCCACUGACCCAGCAACAUGUUCCGAGACACGCAGGAGCCUUUUCCACGGAGCCACCUCCCGGCCUUCCCCUCCAACAUCCACCCAGCGCUCACGUAGCCCGGGCUCCUGCCAUUGCGCUGCCAGCUGGGCGGCACCUUUCAGGCGGGGAAAAGCGAAUCUUCUGCCGGACUGAUCAAGGCACAGCGCUUUUGUCCUGCCCUUUAUUUUUGCCCAAAUGCAUCUUGGUAUCACCGUCUGUAAUUGUUCCUUCAUCUCCCCCGUGGACAUGAAGUCGCUACAGCUUUGCAGAAGCAGCAUUAGCCUGAGAAGCAGCAAAGAAAAGCAGAGAGGCUUAGCGUCCCUCAGCCACAGAUUAAUGCCUCUUCAAAGACGCCAUCCAGAUGCGGCCGGCUCCGCGCCGGCUUCCCCGGCAACAGCUGGGGAGGCGCAUCGUGCCCCGCCUUCUGUUCCCCACCUUAUGAGCAGGAAUAAAAGCUGCCUCCUUAAUGGCCUGGGUUUGUGUUGGAGGCAUAAUUUUCUGUUUACAUUACAAAAGGGCAAGCUUCACGUGUUUUCAUCACUGACAGAGAGAUGAAGAUGAGUUGCUCUCCUAUCCACACCUCCUCCUCUCCAGAGCCCACUGCACUCAAGAGCGGGACCCAAGCUCCUCCGGGCGUGUCCUCGGCGGUCCCUCAGCCUCACACAACAGUCAAAAGCAGCUGCUAACUUUCGACCUUACGUGAGGAGUGGCGAAAGCAUCCCAUUUGCUACCAGGGCAGAUUAUUUUUGGAGUUAAAAUAAAAGAAACACCAUUCUCAACUCACCGUUGCCCGUGGAUUCCAGUGGGUAGGAAUUAAAGCCUCUAAAAGUAGGCUGUGUGAUUUCCCGGGUGAAGUGUCAGAUUGUAAAAGGAUUCAGAACUACUCAUUCCAGUUUAGCGAUUAGUAAGAACCAGAAUGCAUUGCCUCUAGCAACCUCCCGGUGCCAGGAGCGUCUCUUUGAAGAACUCUGAGUAACAAAGGCCACCCCACGUUGAACCCCAGGUAUGAGCUACAGUCUUAUUGCCAAAUUAAGUUGAGAACCUGUGAUCAUUUGG